rnacentral:ribozyme from 1 species
CCACCCUGGCUGGCCCUGGAGCCGCAGCUUUACAAGGCGU